UACGUAGGUGGCAAGCGUUAUCCGGAUUUACUGGGUGUAAAGGGCGUGUAGGCGGGGCUGCAAGUCAGAUGUGAAAACCACGGGCUCAACCUGUGGCCUGCAUUUGAAACUGUAGUUCUUGAGUACUGGAGAGGCAGACGGAAUUCCUAGUGUAGCGGUGAAAUGCGUAGAUAUUAGGAGGAACACCAGUGGCGAAGGCGGUCUGCUGGACAGCAACUGACGCUGAGGCGCGAAAGCGUGGGGAGCAAACAGG
rnacentral:rRNA from 1 species